AACAUCGCGCACCUGCGGGAACCUGCGGAGGGAUCAUUACCAGGAAACGGUGCCCUUGUGGCCCGAUUCUCUCACCACUGUUUACCAAACGUUUCGUUGCCUCGGGGGCUCCCUGUCAGCCGCCUUACGGCGGUUGGCAUACCCCCCGAGGACGCUUCAAAAACCGUUUCGUUCGAAGAACGUCUGAUUUUACCUUCGCGAAUGCGAUAAAUACAACUUUCAACAACGGAUCUCAGAUCG
rnacentral:misc_RNA from 1 species